GAGGGGAAUUACUCAGCUGGCUAGAGCGCCUGCCUUGCACGCAGGAGGUCAAGGUUCGACUCCUUAUUCUCACA
rnacentral:tRNA from 1 species